rnacentral:rRNA from 1 species
AGAGGAAGUAAAAGUCGUAACAAGGUUUCCGUAGGUGAACCUGCGGAAGGAUCAUUAAUGAAACUUCAAGUCGGCCAUAUCUGUGCUGGUGGCAACACAUGUGCACGUUUGGUCGCAAAUCCACACACCUGUGCAUCUUUGACUCUUUGAAUCGCCCUUUUGGGGGCAGAAGAUUGAUCUCGAUCAAUCCGGUUUGAGGGGUACUUUUACACACUCUGAAUGUAAUGGAAUGUCUCUGUGCAUAAUGUACAACUAAAACAACUUUCAACAACGGAUCUCUUGGCUCUCGCAUCGAUGAAGAACGCAGCGAAAUGCGAUAAGUAAUGUGAAUUGCAGAAUUCAGUGAAUCAUCGAAUCUUUGAACGCACCUUGCACCCUUUGGUAUUCCGAAGGGUACGCCCGUUUGAGUGUCAUUGUAAUCUCAUUACAACUCCUUUUUGGUGUUGUAGGUGGACUUGGAUGUUGCUGUGUCACAAUGGCUCAUCUAAAAUGCUUGAGUGUACCCUGCUGUGCAGCGUAUCGGUGUGAUAAACAUCUUCACUGUGUGGUCUUUAUUGACGCGCUUGCUUGUGGGCUCUAUGCUUCCAACCGUCUGCAAGGACAAUCUCUGACAAUUUGACCUCAAAUCGGGUGGGACUACCCGCUGAACUUAAGCAUAUCAAUAAGCGGAGGAAAAGAAACUAACAAGGAUUCCCCUAGUAACGGCGAGUGAAGAGGGAAAAGCUCAAAUUUUGAAUCUGGUGUCUUUGACUCCCGAGUUGUAAUCUAGAGAAGUGUUUUCCGUGUCGGACCACGUACAAGUUCCCUGGAACGGGGCGUCAUAGAGGGUGAGAAUCCCGUAUAUGCCGUGGACUACCGAUACUAUGUGAUACACUCUCAACGAGUCGAGUUGUUUGGGAAUGCAGCUCAAAAUGGGUGGUAAAUUCCAUCUAAAGCUAAAUAUUGGCGAGAGACCGAUAGCGAACAAGUACCGUGAGGGAAAGAUGAAAAGCACUUUGGAAAGAGAGUGAAACAGUACGUGAAAUUGUUGAAAGGGAAGCGUUUGAAGUCAGUCACGUUUGUCGGAAUUCAGCCUUGCUUUUGCCUGGUGUAUUUUCCGUCUGACGGGUCAGCAUCAGUUUUGACCGAGGGAAAAAGACGAACGGAAUGUGGCUGUCCUCGGGCAGUGUUAUAGCCUUUUGUUGUAUGUCUCGGUUGGGACUGAGGAACGCAGCGCGCCUAUUGGCCGGGGGUUCGCGCCCCUCGGUACGCGCUUAGGAUGCUGGCAUAAUGACUUUAAGCGACCCGUCUU